AUGUGGGGUACCUUUCGGGUGUGGGAUGCUCGUUUAACUUCUGUAUUCAUCUUGUUCCUUAUUUACCUGGGUGCACUGCGUUUUCAAAAGCUUCCUGUCGAACCGGCUCCUAUUUCAAUCCGUGCUGGACCGAUCGAUAUACCAAUAAUAAAGUCUCCAGUCAACUGGUGGAAUACAUCGCAUCAACCUGGGAGCAUUAGCCGAUCUGGUACAUCAAUACAUGUUCCUAUGCCCAUUCCAAUCUUGUCUAACUUUGCUAACUUCCCCUUCUCUACCCGUAUCUUGUUCGUUCUGGAAACACGUCUUCCUAUUCCAUCUUUUCCCGAAUCUCCCUUAACGGAAGAAAUAGAAGCUCGAGAAGGAAUACCACUAAAAACCUAG
rnacentral:rRNA from 1 species